rnacentral:rRNA from 1 species
UAGGGAAUCUUGCGCAAUGGGCGAAAGCCUGACGCAGCGACGCCGCGUGCGGGAAGAAGGCCUUCGGGUUGUAAACCGCUUUCAGGAGGGACGAAGCCACUCGGGUUAAUAGCCCAGAGGGUGACGGUACCUCCAGAAGAAGCCCCGGCUAACUACGUGCCAGCAGCCGCGGUAAUACGUAGGGGGCAAGCGUUGUCCGGAUUUAUUGGGCGUAAAGCGCGUGUAGGCGGCCAGGUAGGUCAGCUGUGAAAACUCGAGGCUUAACCUCGAGAUGUCGGCUGAAACCAUCUGGCUAGAGUCCGGAAGAGGAGAAUGGAAUUCCCGGUGUAGCGGUGAAAUGCGCAGAUAUCGGGAAGAACACCCGUGGCGAAGGCGGUUCUCUGGGACGGUACUGACGCUGAGACGCGAAAGCGUGGGGAGCGAACAGG